UCGAGACAGAAUGCCCGACCGGCGGAAACGCCGGAUAAACUGGCCCAGGAACCGAGCCGGGCGCAGCCCCCGGACGGUUCCAGCCAUGAACAGCCAGCAGCCGCUGCAACCCCAGGGAG
rnacentral:sRNA from 1 species